GUCUAGUACUCAGAGUUUGAUCCUGGUUCAGGAUGAACGCUAGCGGCAGGCUUAAUACAUGCAAGUCGAGGGGCAGCGCGAUAUAGCAAUAUGUUGGCGGCGACCGGCAAACGGGUGCGGAACACGUACACAACCUUCCUUGAAUAGGGGGAGUAGCCCAUAGAAAUGUGGAUUAAUACCCCGUAAUAUAGCGGUGUGGCAUCACACUGUUAUUAUAAUUUCGACGAUUCGAGAUGGGUGUGCGGCUGAUUAGGUAGUUGGCGGGGUAAAGGCCCACCAAGCCUUCGAUCAGUAGCUGAUGUGAGAGCAUGAUCAGCCACACGGGCACUGAGACACGGGCCCG
rnacentral:rRNA from 1 species